rnacentral:rRNA from 1 species
UACGUAGGGUGCGAGCGUUAAUCGGAAUUACUGGGCGUAAAGCGUGCGCAGGCGGUUCGUUAUGUCCAAUGUGAAAGCCCCGAGCUCAACUUGGGAAUGGCAUUGGAAACUGGCGGGCUGGAGUGUGGCAGAGGGGGGUGGAAUUCCCGGUGUAGAGGUGAAAUGCGUAGAUAUCGGGAGGAACACCUGUGGCGAAAGCGGCGCACUGGACCACAACUGACGCUGAGGCGCGAAAGCUAGGGGAGCAAACAGG